GAGAGGAUGAUCAGCCACACCGGGACUGAGACACGGCCCGGACUCCUACGGGAGGCAGCAGUGGGGAAUAUUGGACAAUGGGGGAAACCCUGAUCCAGCCAUGCCGCGUGUGUGAAGAAGGCCUUUUGGCUGUAAAGCACUUUAAGCAGUGAAGAAGACUCCGUGGUUAAUACCCACGGACGAUGACAUUAGCUGCAGAAUAAGCACCGGCUAACUCUGUGCCAGCAGCCGCGGUAAUACAGAGGGUGCAAGCGUUAAUCGGAAUUACUGGGCGUAAAGGGAGCGUAGGUGGCUCGAUAAGUCAGAUGUGAAAUCCCCGGGCUCAACCUGGGAACUGCAUCUGAUACUGUUGAGCUAGAGUAUGUGAGAGGAAGGUAGAAUUCCAGGUGUAGCGGUGAAAUGCGUAGAGAUCUGGAGGAAUACCGAUGGCGAAGGCAGCCUUCUGGCAUAAUACUGACACUGAGGCUCGAAAGCGUGGGUAGCAAACAGGAUUAGAUACCCUGGUAGUCCACGCCGUAAACGAUGUCUACUAGUCGUUGGGUCCCUUGAGGACUUAGUGACGCAGCUAACGCAAUAAGUAGACCGCCUGGGGAGUACGGCCGCAAGGUUAAAACUCAAAUGAAUUGACGGGGGCCCGCACAAGCGGUGGAGCAUGUGGUUUAAUUCGAUGCAACGCGAAGAACCUUACCUGGUCUUGACAUAUCUAGAAUCCUGCAGAGAUGCGGGAGUGCCUUCGGGAAUUAGAAUACAGGUGCUGCAUGGCUGUCGUCAGCUCGUGUCGUGAGAUGUUGGGUUAAGUCCCGCAACGAGCGCAACCCUUGUCCUUAGUUACCAGCGGGUUAAGCCGGGGACUCUAAGGAUACUGCCAGUGACAAACUGGAGGAAGGCGGGGACGACGUCAAGUCAUCAUGGCCCUUACGACCAGGGCUACACACGUGCUACAAUGGUAGGUACAGAGGGCAGCUACACAGCGAUGUGAUGCGAAUCUCAAAAAGCCUAUCGUAGUCCAGAUUGGAGUCUGCAACUCGACUCCAUGAAGUAGGAAUCGCUAGUAAUCGCGGAAUCACUAGUGAAUUCGCGGCCGCCUGCAGGUCGACCAUAUGGGAGAGCUCCCAACGCGUUGGAUGCAUAGCUUGAGUAUU
rnacentral:rRNA from 1 species